CCAACCGCGCCGCCGCCGCCGCCGCCCUACGACCAAGCCAUCCGCCGCCGAGCCCCUCCGCCCACGACCGCAACUUCCACCGCCGACUCCCUCCGCCGCAGGUUGCCACCAUUCUCGUCCUCGCCAAGGUCAAUGCCGAGCGCCGCCUGUUCCCCGUGCCUACUGCCGCUCCUCUGCUCCUUGGUCCGCGCACGAGCUCACGCGCAGCAAGCACGCGCCACUCCCCCAUGGCGUCAUCGUCGCGGCCUAUCCUCAGCGCCGCCCCUGCUGCUGGCCCUCACCGGCCGAGCGCCUCGCCGCUGGUCCGCCGCUCGACCUCCUUCCGCCUCUGCGCCCAAGGACGGCCUCCACCCCGCAACUCUGGUCAUCGACGCCUCGCCUAGCCUGCGCCAUGGCCCGUGACCGCUGCAGCACCACCGCGUCGGAGCAUCCCCGUCCUUGCCCUAGGUCGCCGGCCUUUUUCUUCCUUGUCCAGGAUAUCGAGGCCAACAUUUCCCCAGAUCGGCCAGCUCUUAAGCCUCCUCCAUCGCCUGUUGUUACUUUGCUCCUCUGGUGGCUGCAACAAGAGCCAUUCCUGCUGUUGGCUCUCUCCUCCACUGACUACCAGCUAGAAAAAUCCAUCGCAAGGUAAGCCUCUCAUGAUGCAUUCUUUUUUUGGCAGCAUGAUGUAUGUAUCGAUUGUAUGAGCCAGAAAAAACAUUUGAAUUGAAUUGAUGUCCAGGAGCUUGGGGUCAUCUCUCAUGCAAUGUAUUUGAUUUGGUUUUGAUGAAUGACUGUAUGACAGAUUGACCCUCUCCCACUUCUGCAUUGUUUUUACUUAUAGAUCAAAUUAACGAAUACAUUCAGUUUCUUUGGGAUGAUGCACCUAAAUACAGUCAAGUGUGCAAUGAUUAGAAAUUUUGGAUGCUUUGGGGCAUUUCUCAGAUGAUCUACUGUGCCUAUUCAGGUUAUCAAAAAGAAUACUGUGCCUAUUUAGACCAGUUAUAACAGGAAGGUGUAUUAAGUGUAAAUAUCAAGGAACCACAACUGUUUGUGCAUAGGUUCUAGAAAACACAAUUUUUGGGGAAACCAAAUCACUUAACUGCAACAAUGGGGGCGGAGACCUCGAGCUAGCUAUUCUGGCGCAGGGGUUGCACCGCUGCUUCAUCUCGUCCUUACAGAACUACUCCACUCGGGCAACUAAAAACCCAUAACGCACAUACUUGGUCUUUCUUCUACUUCAAGCACCUCUACUUUGAGCACGUUGCUUAGUCCAAGGCAAGUUCUUUGUCCAAUUUUCUGCUUACAAAUCCUGUCUAAUAUUUUAAACCAUUACACUGUUAUGUGCAUGUGGGGGAGAGGAUGUUAUUGGAUCUGGGAGCAGCAAGUUUACAGGGGUGGAUGUCUGCAGUGGAGCUCCUAUUUGAGCCUGAUGCACUAUUCUCUGGUGGCUAUAUUCUGGUUUGCAUCAUGUUCAGGUGAAUAUCUUCGAAAAGAAGAAUGACCCAGGGAGGAUAAAGUGACAUGGAUGACUGAUGGAAGAAAAAGAGCCGACAGUGUUAGAAGAAAUAAUGAGGACUUCAGAAUUUUGACAGGAGCAAUGUUGGAUCUGCUGUCACAGAUGUACAGUGUGCUUAGCAUUAUAAACAAGGCCUUGAACACAUCUCUUGAAGGUUUGACAAGAUCUUGAAGGUGUUGGAGGUUUGGCAAGAUUUGCAAGGCGUCCAUACUUUUUUUUGCUCAUUUUGGUGGUUAUUUUAGCACACAAGCCGAUGUAUGCUCAUUUUGGCUUUGUAGCACAUCUAGAAACAUGUCUUUUUUUUUUCUUUUGUGGCACAACAUCCUUAAUGUAUCAAGAAACAUGUAUUUGGUCGCUUAUCAAAUGAAGCUUGAGGUUUUGGA